rnacentral:rRNA from 1 species
CAGUCGCCGCGGGAAUACAGAGGGUGCGAGCGUUAAUCGGAUUUACUGGGCGUAAAGCGUGCGUAGGCGGCUAAUUGAGUCGGAUGUGAAAUCCCCGAGCUUAACUUGGGAAUUGCAUUCUAUACUGGUUAGCUAGAGUGUGGGAGAGGAUGGUAGAAUUCCAGGUGUAGCGGUGAAAUGCGUAGAGAUCUGGAGGAAUACCGAUGGCGAAGGCAGCCAUCUGGCCUAAUACUGACGCUGAGGUACGAAAGCAUGGGGAGCAAACAGGAUUAGAUACCCCCGUAGUCCCUGUCUCUUAUAC